ACUUGAUCAAAAUAAAAACAUCUACACAGUGAAUGAAACAACCAACAAAACUAAAGGGCAAAAAUAAAUAAAUAAACAAACAAACAAAAGAACAAACAACAACAACAACAAAAAAAACUAAAGGGCAACCUACAGAGGGGGAAAGGUGAUAAUAGAGAACAAAAACUACUUGAUCACAAAAUCAUUGAUCAGUGAGAGAGAGCGGAAGAGGUCCAGUACAACCAACCCAUCUAAAUGGGUUUUAAGUAAACCAUAAUUUACAAUCAGAAGGCGGAAAUGCCCACCUCCAGAAACAUGUGGAAAAAAAACAAUGGAACAAGAUAACCUGCGGAGUCCAGAGGUGGAGAGGCAGUAAGAACAAUUACACCAGCCUGUUCACUAGGAGUGACAUCAGCAGACCCACACCUACUUACAUUAUUGAGUCCCAGAACUAUACAAUUUACCUAUUGUGCAUCCCACACCAAAUGGUGACCACGUAGUAGUCAUUGGGUUAGAGUAUAUAUUGCAUCUCAGAGGAAAAGGCCUUAUCCUUGUAGGAUGUCAUCUCUCAACUGUGAACCUCAGCUGUGCCAUCUACAAGACAGUCCAUCCCUUUCCAGACCAGCCACCUCUGGGUGGCCCAGUGUGUGAAAACAAUGGUGCAUUCCAGUUGUCCCAGUACCCACAAAAAUAUUUACUUUGCUAUAAAAUGGAUCCUUUGAUCUGACUCAGUGUGAUGUGGGUUCCAUAUUGGUGGAGGAAUCACAGUGAACUCUCGGAUCAUUUUGGUGACUGAGGUCCUAAAGCAGGGAAAAGCAAACCAAUAUCCAGAACACAUUUCUUCUCCAUUCAAAAUAAGUCACAACCAUUUUACAGGUAGAAGGACUCCACUGUAGUGGAUUUUCACCCAAGAGCUGGACAUCUCAUGCCAAAUUGGGGCUCAGGGUUGACUCUCUUUCUUUCAGUGUGGACAUUAGGAACAUCAGUAGUAAAUUAGAGUAAAUUUAAUGAAAGGAAGACAAGAGUAUUGGGUUCAUGUAUGCAGAGCCUCCAAAUAACAGCCCUGGAAACUCUAUUCGAGCACCCACUGUAGCAGUCCUGGAGUGGCCCAUAAUACAGGCUUGUUAAUGUAAACUGACCAUGUAGGGGUCCCAGAGCACAACAGAGGAGUGUAUUAUAUUCCCUUCUAUGUGCAAUACCUAGAAACACAACUGAUUAUUAGAAAAAAUAAGUUAAAAUUAUCUUGGUAUAGAUAGUUUCUCAAUUCUACAUUUUUUUCUGUCCUGUUUUCUCCAAGCCACCACCUCAGGUGGUGUUGAGUAUUCAUUUCAAAGUUUUUGGAAUGGUCCCAGAAUCACAGAUACACCCAAAUCUCAAGACUUUUAUGCUGAUAAAAAACAUAAUGAAGGAAAAAAAAAUCACCCCCAAAAUGCCAGACAGUAUUUCAAACCAUAGCUAAUACAUCAGC